CCUUAUUUGCAGGGAUCGCCGAGCCCCAGGCGCUAAAACUUCAUACUUUGGGGACACUGGGAGAAGAAGGAGACAGGGAAGGGAGACUGCGUAGUGGAAAGGAUGCCAGCAUUUCCUCAAAGCACGUUCCUGACACGAGGCAUCAGACGGCCCUGAACUUCAUCUCCUAAGGGCCCCAUGGGACCUGUUCCCACGGCCCUGUGUCAACCAGACCACUUGGCGUUUUCUCACCCACAGAGCCCCACAGAGUCCCACAGAGGCUCAAUUCUUUCCCGUCCGUGUCCAGGCCCCGGGAGUUGCUGGCAUGCCACAGUGUGGCUGGCAACAGUCGGCCUCCCCAGAGCAGCUGCUGGCUCCGUAUUCACCGGCAGCAGGUUAACGGGGGCAGGUGUGGCUGCUGGGAUGCACCUGGAGAUUCAUCAGCCAGAGGCUUCUAAAUGUUCCCUGUUUGCUCCGCCCAGACAGUUUCUCGUCUACCGCAUGCACGCACCCCUUGCUCCUGCUCCUCGCUCAGCAGGGCCAGGGGUCUUACUGCUAUUUCUUGUCCUCAUUUGGUGGAAUUGAAGGAAGGUUGGGAGCUCAAGCAGCAGGCGAAGAGCCGCCAGAAGGGACGGCGGCGGGAGACACGACUGGCUCUCUCUGUUGGGGGAAUGUCCCCAGGAGAAGGUAAGGCAGCUGGGUUGGUCCGCUUCCCUGGCUGGACCUCCUUCCCUACAAAAGUGGUGUCCUCUGCUGGGAGGGGAGGAGAACUGAGCCUGCGAAGUUGGUGGCAGGAAGCGGCAGCCUAAACAAUACAAAGUAGCUGAAGGAUCUUCUUGGUCUUCGCCAUUGCUAUUUUCCCUAUACCUAGAGCAGUGCCUGGCAGACAGUUGUUGCCCAAGAAGAUUCCCCGAAUGAAUGAAUGCAGGAAAUUGUUCCCUCCUCCAGUGAGCGGAACAGCUGAUCCGUGCUCUGCAAGGAGGGAGCUCUCUGCCAGUGGGGGAUGGGAGAUGGUUUUGAGAGCCACGCCGUGGAGAGAGCUGCAUUCAGGCAGGAAACUGGAGCUGAGGAGCCCAGGCGACGUCUGCUGUGUGGUUAGACAGUGAUCCAAAGCCACACGCCAAGGAUGGGAGCCAGCCCUCGCGCUCCCGCCCCCAGUCCUUUCCUGGGAAUCGCAUGUGGUCAGCAGAGCCUGUGGAAGUCGGAUUUGCUUGGAGAAACCACUGGGAGAUUGGAGUGGAAUGCAAAGCCAAACACCACUGUUCCCAGAUCAGCUCCCAAAGGGAACCUCCCGGAGGCCCGGCCUCCUCACCUCCGGACCACUUCUCCAGGAGGCCUCGUCUAUGACAAGGACUGAUGUGGGGCACAGCUGCCCAGUGUCCUCCGGGAGGCCAGGUAUGUGGUCUGGGAGAGGCCCACCUCACCCGCUUCUGAGAGUAACUUCAGGGAAACUAAAACGAAUAGUACCAAAGACCAGCUCCCCCUCUGUUGAGGUUUGGGAUUAAAUAAAGCAAACAAAACGCAGUAGCAAAAAGCAUCGGUGCUAUCUAGGUAUGUGUCUCCUCUCAAGAUGUGAACAUACAGGUGUGAGGUGUGUAAAGCUCAGUUUCCGGUCAGCCAGGUGGAGCCGCGCGACGGCUUUGCAGUCGGGAAAGUUCUGCAGUUCUCGCUCUUCCGGCUGCGGCAAAGAUCAGGCUUUACUGGCCUUGAUUGUUGCGAAGAGUUUGGUGUGAACUUGUGCUCAUUCUUCUUCUCCUCUUCUUUCUCCCUCCCUCUCUCUCUCUCUCUCUCUCUUUUUAAUUUCAAGGGAAAGGAGACAAUCAUUUUCCCUGCAACUUCCCUCAGCACCUCUUGGUAGGCUUUUUGUGGCAUU